rnacentral:rRNA from 1 species
AGAGUCGGCCCUGCCCAGUGAGAAUAUAAGUAAACGGUCGCAAUGAAGAGUUGUGCUAAGGUAGCGCAAUAAAUUGUCCUUUAAUUGGGGAAAUGAAUGAAAGGGUUGACGAGGGGGAAGCUAUCUUUUUGGUAUAGCCUGAAGUUUUCUUUUAUGUGAAAAGACUUAGAUUUUAUAAUUAGAAGAGAAGACCCCGGCGAGCUUGUUAAGGGUUGCCAAAUCUAGGCAACUAUUGAUUUUUGUUGGGGCAACGCAAAGGGAAAAGAACUCCUUUGAACUUUAUAAGGAUCCACUCAGAGUGAAUAAAGCAAAAGCUACCGCGGGGAUAACAGCGCAAUUUCUUCAGAGAGCUCAUAUCGAAGAAGAAGGUUGCGACCUCGAUGUUGGAUUAAGAUUUCCUUUUGGUGCAGGAGUUAAAAAGGUAGGACUGUUCGUCCUUUAAAAUCUU